CCCCGUCCGAACUCAGACCACGCAUCUCGCUGUUCCUCAAAAACAUGCCUCGUGACAAAACAUGAGAGGUCCAGCCUGCCCAGUGACAAAGUUCAACGGCCGCGGUACCCUAACCGUGCGAAGGUAGCAUAAUCACUUGUUCUUUAAAUGAGGACUUGUAUCAACGGCACUACGAGGGCUAUACUGUCUCCUUUUUCUAAUCAGUGAAACUGAUCUCCCCGUGAAGAAGCGGGGAUCAAAAUAUAAGACGAGAAGACCCCAUGGAGCUUUAAACUCACUAUACACCUCUGUGCCUCGAUGCCAUAAAACACAAGAGAUCUGUAUACUAGUUUUAGGUUGGGGGGACCACGGAGUACAAUUUAACCUCCAUAACAAAUGGGCUAACACCCUUAUCCACGAGACACAACUCUAAGAAUUACUAAACUAAUGCUUACGACCCGAUAUUCGAUCAAUGAACCAAGUUACCCUGGGGAUAACAGCGCAAUCUACUUCAAGAGUCCAUAUCGACAAGUAGGUUUACGACCUCGAUGUUGGAUCAGGGUAUCCCAGUGGUGCAGCCGCUACUGACGGUUCGUUUGUUCAACGAUUAAAACCCUACGUGAUCUGAG
rnacentral:rRNA from 1 species